UACAGGGGGUGCAAACGUUGCUCGGAAUUAUUGGGCGUAAAGCGCGCGUAGGCGGCCGCUUAAGUCGGAUGUGAAAGCCCCUGGCUCAACUGGGGAAGUGCACCCGAAACUGAGUGGCUUGAGUACUAAAGAGGGUCGCGGAAUUCCCGGUGUAGAGGUGAAAUUCGUAGAGAUCGGGUGGAACACCAGUGGCGAAGGCGCCUAUCUGGCUGACAACUGACGCUGAGACUCGAAAGCAUGGGGAGCAAACAGG
rnacentral:rRNA from 1 species